CGGGACGGAUUCUGGGCGCGUGCGGUCUCUGCUGUUUCCUCCUGAUUUCUCCAAACAACCAUGUCAUCAGAAUCGAGCAAAAAACGGAAGCCCAAAGUGAUCCGGAGUGAUGGAGCUCCAGCUGAAGGGAAGCGUAAUCGUUCUGACACUGAGCAGGAAGGUAAAUACUACAGCGAGGAGGCUGAGGUGGACCUGCGGGACCCUGGCAGAGACUAUGAGCUGUACAAGUACACGUGUCAAGAGUUGCAGAGGCUCAUGGCUGAGAUCCAGGACCUGAAAAGCAGGGGAGGCAAGGAUGUGGCCAUUGAGAUUGAAGAUCGGAGGAUCCAGAGCUGUGUACAUUUCAUGACUCUAAAGAAGCUUAACCGAUUAGCCCACAUCAGGUUGAAGAAAGGAAGAGAUCAGACCCAUGAGGCCAAGCAGAAAGUGGAUGCCUAUCACCUGCAGCUCCAGAACCUGUUGUAUGAGGUGAUGCACCUGCAGAAGGAGAUCACCAAAUGUCUGGAGUUUAAGUCAAAGCAUGAAGAAAUUGACCUGGUCAGCUUGGAGGAGUUUUAUAAGGAGGCUCCUCCAGAUAUCAGUAAAGCCGAAGUCACCAUGGGAGACCCUCACCAGCAAACUCUUGCACGUCUGGACUGGGAGCUGGAGCAGCGGAAAAGGCUGGCAGAGAAGUACCGAGAGUGCUUAUCCAACAAGGAGAAGAUCCUCAAGGAGAUUGAGGUGAAGAAGGAGUACCUGAGCAGCCUCCAGCCCCGACUCAACAGCAUCAUGCAGGCUUCCCUCCCAGUGCAAGAGUACCUGUUUAUGCCCUUCGACCAGGCUCACAAGCAGUAUGAGACAGCCAGACACCUACCACCUCCCCUCUAUGUCCUCUUUGUCCAGGCCACUGCAUAUGGGCAGGCCUGUGAUGACGAGAGCGACUCGGAUGCUGAGGAGGAACAGACCACGAAACGCCGGCGACCCACUCUGGGAGUUCAGCUGGACGACAAACGCAAGGAGAUGCUGAAGAGGCACCCGCUGUCCGUCAUGCUGGACCUGAAAUGCAAAGAUGACAGUGUCCUGCACCUGACUUUCUACUACCUCAUGAACCUCAACAUCAUGACAGUAAAAGCCAAAGUGACAACCGCCACAGAGCUGAUCACCCCCAUCAGUGCAGGUGACUUGCUGUCUCCUGACUCAGUCCUAAGCUGUCUGUAUCCUGGGGAUCAUGGAAAGAAAACUCCAAAUCCAGCCAAUCAGUAUCAGUUUGACAAAGUUGGCAUCCUGACUUUGAGAGACUACGUACUUGACCUAGGUCACCCCUAUUUGUGGGUGCAGAAGCUGGGUGGUCUCCACUUCCCCAAAGAGCAGCCCCAGCACACUGUGGUCGCUGACCACUCGCUGAGCGCCAGCCACAUGGAGACCACCAUGAAGCUGCUGAAGACCAGGGUGCAGUCCCGCCUGGCCCUCCACAAGCAGUUUGCCUCCCUGGAACAUGGCAUCGUGCCAGUUACCAGUGAUUGCCAGUACCUCUUCCCUGCAAAGGUCGUCUCUCGCCUGAUGAAGUGGGUGGCAAUUGCCCAUGAGGAUUACAUGGAGCUGCAUUUCACCAAAGACAUUGUGGAGGCGGGACUGGCCGGGGACACCAAUCUCUACUACAUGGCACUCGUGGAAAGGGGCACAGCUAAGCUCCAGGCGGCCGUGGUGCUGAACCCUGGCUACUCCUCCAUCCCGCCCAUUUUCCAGCUCUGUCUGAACUGGAAAGGGGAGAAAACCAACAGCAACGAUGACAAUAUUCGGGCCAUGGAGAGCGAGGUCAACGUUUGCUACAAAGAGCUGUGUGGCCCCCGGCCCAGCCACCAGCUCUUGACCAACCAGCUGCAGCGCCUGUGCGUGCUGUUGGACGUCUACCUGGAGACGGAGAGCCACGACGACAGUGUGGAGGGGCCCAAGGAAUUUCCCCAGGAGAAGAUGUGUCUGAGGCUUUUCAGGUAACCCAAGAUGGGAAAGGAGACCCCAGCACUCCCAGUGGGUCUGGGGGAGGAAGACCCUCAAAAUACAUUUGUGGAAUGAGUUGAGUGGAUUUGGGAUCCCAAAAUAUUUCAAAGAUGGACCAAAUCUAACAAGUUGAAAUGUAAAGUCCUACAGGAAGGACCUAAAAACCAACCACUCAUCUGUGUGCUGGGAUGUAAUAACGUCUUGAAUUAAAAUGUGAUCAUUUGGGGAGCCUUUUUCCCAUCGUGGCACAGCAGAAACAAAUGUGACUAGGAACCAUGAGGUUGUGGGUUCAAUCCCUGGCCUCGCUCAGUGAGUUAAGGAUCUGGCAUUGCCACAAGCUGUGGUGUAGGUCACAGACAGCUCGGAUCCAGCGUUGCUGUGGCUAUGAUGUAGGCCAGCAGCUACAGCUCUGAUUUGACCCCUAGCCUGGGAACCUCCAUAUGCCACAGGUGCUGCCCUAAAAAGCAUUUAAAAAAAAAAGUGAUCAUUUUAUGUGAGUUCCCCUCAUGGCUCAGUAGUAAUGAACCUGGCUAGGAUCCAUGAGGACUUGGGAUCAAUCCCUGGCCUUGCUCAGUAGGUUACAGAUCCGGUGUUGCCGUGAGCUGUUGUGUAGGUUGCAGACAUGGCUUGGAUCUGGUAUGGCUGUGGCUGUGGCUGGCACCUGCAACUCCAAUUUGACCCCUAGCCUGGGAACUUACAUAUACCAUGGGUGCAAAGACUAAAGGUCAUUUUGGAGUUUCCUUAUGGCACAGCGGGUUAAGGAGCCAGCAUUGUCACUGCUGUGGCACAGGUUCAAUCCCUGGCCUGCGAACUUCUGCAUGCCAUGGUCAUGGCCAAUAAAAAAUGUGAUCAUUUUGAUGAACUACUGGUUUAAAAUGCCUGGUGGGGCACUCAUCCUGGCAAUGCUGAGAGCCAAGAGACACUUCAAAAUUACACUAUUCCUUCUCUUAUUCCAUAGGAUCAAAUUCCACAGGACCAGUAGAAUAUUUACUUCCCUCUGUAUCCAAAAGAACCACUUGUAGGCUACAUAUUUUCUAUUUUCUAAUUUCAUAUACAUUUGUUUUGUUACUAAACUUAGAUCAUAGUGUACAAAUGGUUUUUUAAUUUAAUUUUAAAACCAAAAAAAAAAAAA
rnacentral:lncRNA from 1 species